GGGUUGUGAGGUUAAGCGACUAAGCGUACACGGUGGAUGCCCUGGCAGUCAGAGGCGAUGAAGGACGUGCUAAUCUGCGAAAAGCGCCGGCGAGGUGAUAUGAACCCUUGACCCGGCGAUGUCCGAAUGGGGAAACCCAGUGUGUUCCGACACACUAUCGUUAACUGAAUACAUAGGUUAACGAGGCGAACCGGGGGAACUGAAACAUCUAAGUACCCCGAGGAAAAGAAAUCAACCGAGAUUCCCCCAGUAGCGGCGAGCGAACGGGGAGCAGCCCGGAGUCUGAAUCAGCUUGUGUGUUAGUGGAACGGUCUGGAAAGUCCGACGGUACAGGGUGAUAGUCCCGUACACGAAAACACACAUGCUGUGAACUCGAAGAGUAGGGCGGGACACGUGGUAUCCUGUCUGAAUAUGGGGGGACCAUCCUCCAAGGCUAAAUACUCCUGACUGACCGAUAGUGAACCAGUACCGUGAGGGAAAGGCGAAAAGAACCCCGGCGAGGGGAGUGAAAAAGAACCUGAAACCGUGUACGUACAAGCAGUGGGAGCACCUUCGGGUGUGACUGCGUACCUUUUGUAUAAUGGGUCAGCGACUUAUAUUCUGUAGCAAGGUUAACCGUAUAGGGGAGCCGAAGGGAAACCGAGUCUUAACUGGGCGUUAAGUUGCAGGGUAUAGACCCGAAACCCGGUGAUCUAGCCAUGGGCAGGUUGAAGGUUGGGUAACACUAACUGGAGGACCGAACCGACUAAUGUUGAAAAAUUAGCGGAUGACCUGUGGCUGGGGGUGAAAGGCCAAUCAAACCGGGAGAUAGCUGGUUCUCCCCGAAAGCUAUUUAGGUAGCGCCUCGUGAACUCAUCUUCGGGGGUAGAGCACUGUUUCGGCUAGGGGGCCAUCCCGGCUUACCAACCCGAUGCAAACUACGAAUACCGAAGAAUGUUAUCACGGGAGACACACGGCGGGUGCUAACGUCCGUCGUGAAGAGGGAAACAACCCAGACCGCCAGCUAAGGUCCCAAAGUCAUGGUUAAGUGGGAAACGAUGUGGGAAGGCACAGACAGCCAGGAUGUUGGCUUAGAAGCAGCCAUCAUUUAAAGAAAGCGUAAUAGCUCACUGGUCGAGUCGGCCUGCGCGGAAGAUGUAACGGGGCUAAACCAUGCACCGAAGCUGCGGCAGCGACGCUUAUGCGUUGUUGGGUAGGGGAGCGUUCUGUAAGCCGUUGAAGGUGUGCUGUGAGGCAUGCUGGAGGUAUCAGAAGUGCGAAUGCUGACAUAAGUAACGAUAAAGCGGGUGAAAAGCCCGCUCGCCGGAAGACCAAGGGUUCCUGUCCAACGUUAAUCGGGGCAGGGUGAGUCGACCCCUAAGGCGAGGCCGAAAGGCGUAGUCGAUGGGAAACAGGUUAAUAUUCCUGUACUUGGUGUUACUGCGAAGGGGGGACGGAGAAGGCUAUGUCAGCCGGGCGACGGUUGUCCCGGUUUAAGCAUGUAGGCGGAGGUUCCAGGUAAAUCCGGUACCUU
rnacentral:rRNA from 1 species